rnacentral:rRNA from 1 species
CCUACGGGAGGCAGCAGUGAGGAAUAUUGGUCAAUGGCCGGAAGGCUGAACCAGCCAAGCCGCGUGAAGGACGAAGGUGCCAAGCAUUGUAAACUUCUUUUGUCAAGGGACAAAAUCAGGCUCGAGAGCCUGACCGAGGGUACUUGAAGAAAAAGCAUCGGCUAACUCCGUGCCAGCAGCCGCGGUAAUACGGGGGAUGCGAGCGUUAUCCGGAUUUCUGGGGUUUAAAGGGUGCGUAGGCGGACUGUUAAGUCAGCGGUAAAAGCCCGGGGCUCAACCCCGGCGAGCCGGGGAAACUGGCUGUAGUGAGAGGUCGAGAGGUAGGAGGAAUGCGCGGGGGAGAGGUGAAACGCGGAGAGAUUGCGCAGAAC